rnacentral:rRNA from 1 species
UACAGAGGUCUCAAGCGUUGUUCGGAUUCAUUGGGCGUAAAGAGCGUGUAGGCGGCCAAACAGGUCCGUUGUGAAAACUGGAGGCUCAACUUCCAGACGUCGACGGAAACCGUGUGGCUAGAGUCCGGAAGAGGAGAGUGGAAUUCCUGGUGUAGCGGUGAAAUGCGCAGAUAUCAGGAAGAACACCAAUGGCGAAGGCAGCUCUCUGGGACGGUACUGACGCUGAGACGCGAAAGCGUGGGGAGCGAACAGG